UACGGAGGGUGCAAGCGUUGUUCGGAAUCACUGGGCGUAAAGGGCGCGCAGGCGGUUUGAAUAGUCAGAUGUGAAAGCCCACGGCUUAACCGUGGAAGUGCAUUUGAAACUGUCAGACUUGAGUACCAGAGGGGAAAGUGGAAUUCCCGGUGUAGAGGUGAAAUUCGUAGAUAUCGGGAGGAAUACCGGUGGCGAAGGCGACUUUCUGGCUGGAUACUGACGCUGAGGCGCGAAAGCGUGGGGAGCAAACAGGAUUAGAUACCCUGGUAGUCCACGCUGUAAACGAUGUGCACUAGAUGUAGGGGGUGUUGAUCCCCUCUGUGUCGCAGCUAACGCAUUAAGUGCACCGCCUGGGGAGUACGGUCGCAAGAUUAAA
rnacentral:rRNA from 1 species